GUAGUCCACGCCGUAAACGAUGUCAACUAGCCGUAGGGAGCAUCUGGCUCUUUGUGGCGCAGCUAACGCGAUAAGUUGACCGCCUGGGGAGUACGGCCGCAAGGCUAAAACUCAAAUGAAUUGACGGGGGCCCGCACAAGCGGUGGAGCAUGUGGUUUAAUUCGAUGCAACGCGAAAAACCUUACCUGCCCUUGACAUGUCAGGAAUCUUUCAGAGAUGAGAGAGUGCCUUCGGGAACCUGAACACAGGUGCUGCAUGGCUGUCGUCAGCUCGUGUCGUGAGAUGUUGGGUUAAGUCCCGUAACGAGCGCAACCCUUGUCCUUAGUUGCCAGCGGUUCGGCCGGGAACUCUAAGGAGACUGCCGGUGAUAAACCGGA
rnacentral:rRNA from 1 species